UACGUAGGGUGCAAGCGUUUAAUCGGAAUUACUGGGCGUAAAGCGUGCGCAGGCGGUGAUGUAAGACAGAUGUGAAAUCCCCGGGCUCAACCUGGGAACUGCAUUUGUGACUGCAUCGCUGGAGUGCGGCAGAGGGGGAUGGAAUUCCGCGUGUAGCAGUGAAAUGCGUAGAUAUGCGGAGGAACACCGAUGGCGAAGGCAAUCCCCUGGGCCUGCACUGACGCUCAUGCACGAAAGCGUGGGGAGC
rnacentral:rRNA from 1 species